GACGAAGGUGGCGAGCGUUGUUCGGAAUCACUGGGCAUAAAGCGCACGUAGGCGGCGACGUAAGUUGGGUGUGAAAUCCCUCGGCCCAACCGAGGAACUGCGCCCAGUACUGCGUUGCUUGAGGAUCCAAGGGGUGCAUGGAAUUCCCGGUGGAGCGGUGAAAUGCGUUGAUAUCGGGAGGAACUCCGGCGGCGAAAGCGGCUCACUGGACCAUAACUGACGCUGAUGCACGAAAGCUAGGGGAGCAAACAGG
rnacentral:rRNA from 1 species